GGGGUUGUAGCUCAGGAAAGAGCGCUUGCCUUGUAUGCAUGAGGCACUGGGUUUGAUCCUCAGCACCA
rnacentral:tRNA from 1 species